UACAGAGGGUGCGAGCGUUAAUCGGAAUUACUGGGCGUAAAGCGCGCGUAGGCGGCCUGUUAAGUCGGAUGUGAAAUCCCUGGGCUCAACCUAGGCAUUGCAUUCGAUACUGGCAAGCUAGAGUAUGGGAGAGGAAGGUAGAAUUCCAGGUGUAGCGGUGAAAUGCGUAGAGAUCUGGAGGAAUACCGAUGGCGAAGGCAGCCUUCUGGCCUAAUACUGACGCUGAGGUGCGAAAGCAUGGGGAGCAAACAGG
rnacentral:rRNA from 1 species